GACGAACGCUGGCGGCGUGCUUAACACAUGCAAGUCGAACGGAAAGGCCCUGCUUGCAGGGUACUCGAGUGGCGAACGGGUGAGUAACACGUGGGUGAUCUGCCCUGCACUUCGGGAUAAGCCUGGGAAACUGGGUCUAAUACCGGAUAGGAGCCAUUUUUAGUGUGAUGGUUGGAAAGUUUUUUCGGUGUAGGAUGAGCUCGCGGCCUAUCAGCUUGUUGGUGGGGUAAUGGCCUACCAAGGCGGCGACGGGUAGCCGGCCUGAGAGGGUGGACGGCCACAUUGGGACUGAGAUACGGCCCAGACUCCUACGGGAGGCAGCAGUGGGGAAUAUUGCACAAUGGGCGCAAGCCUGAUGCAGCGACGCCGCGUGGGGGAUGACGGCCUUCGGGUUGUAAACUCCUUUCGCUAGGGACGAAGCUUUUUGUGACGGUACCUAGAUAAGAAGCACCGGCUAACUAC
rnacentral:rRNA from 2 species